GAAGGAUAUUUCUUGUUUGAAAGUGGUAGCACCAGGGAAUUUCGCGGGAAAGAUUGAAGCUCGUGGUCUCGUGCUUUCAAUGAAAAUUUUCGUCCUAAAAACUUUCAUUAUUUUUGUAGAAUCUUAUCCCAAUAUAAGCUCUAAUCUUUGGCAAAUAGACAACAGUGUAUUUGUAACUCGUUAAAGAAAGCUGUGGAUUGCAUUUGUGGUCGAGAUUCGAUGUUUUUCAAGCUUGACUUGGCUCAAACUUUAUUUUGUAUUUCAUGCUCCAUCUUGGUAUAAAUGUUGCAUCAGCUGUAUCGAUUUGUUUAGAAAUUGCUUGGAAUUCCUCUGGUUUCUCUUGUUUAAGGUAUUUGGGAUUAUUUUUGUGUUGAUAUAUUGUGAUGUAUGAAAUAUAUGUAAAGUUAUAUUGCUUUUUAAUACAGGGUUUUAUAAUAUAGAAAUUUUGAAUUGAAGAUUCCUUUCUUACGUUUUCGUAGCGCUUUGCAUUGUGGUGAUAGUGGUAUCACUGAUAUUCAAGAUGGCUUAUUUUUUGUCCUAACCUGUGCAAGAACUUUAAAAAAACCUUGGGUCAGGUGUGUGUUAGUCAUUAUUUUUAUCUGAGAUGGGAUUGUUUAUGCGAAAUAUAUGAAAGAUAUGUCAAAUUAUAUUGCUUUAAUUAAAGUACAGCGUUUUAUAAUAUUGCCGUACGGUGGGCAAUAUUAUAAAACGCUGUACUUUAAAGCAACUGCAAAGUUUGGAAAUUGCGCGCGGAAGUUUUUCGAAAGUUUAAUAGUAAAUAUAUAGAAAGCAUAAAAAAUGUGCAUGGAAGAUCUUCCGCGCAUGGUGGAGAAAAUGCAGUCUGGCACCGUACUUAAUCGAUGAAAUCGAUAAUCGAUGAGUAUCAAUAUCAAUCAAUACCAAUCGAUAUUUAACAAUCGAUAGAUAUUGGAAAUCAAUGAAUAAUCAGGUCCACCAAGAGAUUAUGACCAACAGGUGACAUUCCAUUAAAAAGAGGUGACAGACUAUCUAAAAAAGAGCGACAAAUGACAGCUUCUGACUGGGAAAAAGCGACAAAUGUUAUGGGUCAAAAGUGACGGUGACAUUUAUUACAAUAAAACAAGCGACAAAGCAGCCACAAAAUUAGUGACAAGCGACCUACGUUACACUUUCAUCGAUUGAUCAUCAAAUUUUUAUUAAUACCGAUCUUUUUAGGGAAUUAUGGCAUUAAAACAUGAAAUAUAAGUAAAUAAAUAUACUACAGACACAGAGAACCCUAGCUACAUUUUUGUAUGCCUUUUUUGAAAACAUUGAUUUUAUAACGUAAUUCUUUGGACGAGUGUAGCCAAAGAUGUUUUGAAGUAACAUAAAAUUGUCAUAAAAUGAUUUUUUAUAAACAGUACGUAUAAUGGAUGAAAUUAUAAGUUAUAGGAUGUGCGCAGUAAAUGUGCGCAAUGCAAAACUGCGGAAUUGCCUUAACUGGCCAAGUAAAUCGAAGUAAACACACUAAAGAAAAUAUUUUAUCGCGAGGGGUCAGGACAUAUAAACAGAUUGUCAAUUAUAAAUUGUCAAUUUCUGUCCAAUGGUUUGUUGCAUUUUAUAUUUGUCAGCAUUGUUCGCUAAGUGUUCAAACACUAGAAUUUCAUCUUGAUUUUCUUAACCCUGAUACAGCACAAAAUUAAAUGCAACAGAUUAUAUUUCAAGUCUUUCAAACCUUUGUAUGCCCCAAAGGAAUUCUUGAUGAAAUCUCUGAAUUUAAAAUUAUUGUGUUGUUAUUUAAACACAUGUAUAUUAUCAAUUGACCAAUGAAAUAUCUUCAUUUGUUGUAUAUUAUUAAAAUAAAGCACCGUCCAAUCAAAGGUCUUCGCACAAAUCUGUGGUAAAUCCAUCUAACCAAAACAAGGAAUCUUCAUCCAACUCAGACAUUCUCUUGAAUGUGUGCUUCAUCGAUGGUAACAUCUGUGCACACUACACAGGCUAGGUUUGAGAAGGUUUAUUUUUUAAAAGAUACUUUUAAUCUUAAUAUUUUCACAUUAACAUAUUAAUAUCCUGUGUAAUAAGGAAACAGAACACUUCUGGGCUGGAACAAGUUGACAUCUUGCUGAUGUUUGACUUCUUGCUGAACAGUGUGGCAAUCAAUAUGGCGUAUAUAAAUACAGGGAAUUUUUAAAAUUUUGUUUGUAUAAAUGGGCUAAAGAAACUCAUCAAAUAUUCAGAAAACAGACCUUUAAAUGUUUGCCAAGUAUUGAUUGGGAUUGCAUUAUAUAAUAUAUGUAAAGUAUUCAAUUGUGCACAGGUAUUUUGGUAAUUCAUAAAUUGCAGGUUUUGACACUGAGCUAUAUAUUUCAUACCUAAUUUUAAUACAUAACUUCAAUAAAACCUGGGAUGGGCUCCAUGUGCUAAAAUGUUCCAAUUCAUAUAUAAACAAUAUUUAACCCGUUAAGCGCCAGUACUCUCCCCUUGACGAGUAAAAUCGAGUAAAAUAGUCUGGCGUUAGACAGAGUAAAAUACUAAAGUAGGGUGCAUUCCUGGUGCAAUGCAACUCAAUGGGUUAAUUUCAAGGGUGGGUAGUAGCCAAGUAGUUGUAGUUCGCUACUGUAGCGAACUACAAUUUUCAAGUAGCCAGUAGUUUUUGACUACUUUUUCAAAACAGUAGCUGUAGUUAUAGCGAACUACAUUUUGCCUAAAAGUAGCCAAGUAGUUGACUACUUUUCAAACAGCAAAUCGCUAUUCGCUACUUUUUAAAAUUGUUAGCAACUUGAUAGAAUAGAAUGUAAUUAAGACACAGUUUACUUAAAAUCAAUGCUCAAUUUGCAUGAAUAAAGUAUGCCGUGCAACUGUUCAAACUGUGCAAGUGCAUACCGUCUUAUUUACUCGCGUAAGUCGAUUUGUUAUAGGUCACAUUACAGCCUGCAUGGGCUAUGGUAGAUGUUCCAAAUACAGUAAAAUUGAAAAAUAAUUGAGUAGCGAAAUAGUUCGCUACAUUUUUUAAGCAGUAGCUGUAGUCAGUAGCGAACUACUUUUGUUCAAAAGUAGCAGUAGUUGUAGCUGACUACAUAUUUCAGAAGUAGCUGUAGUUAUAGCGAACUACAAAAAUUUUGUAGUCAACCCACCCUUGGUUAAUUUCAAAUAAAGGAAAGCUACUUUUCCCCCACUUAGCCAGGUAAUAGGAACAGGGUGCAAUUGUGACCAGUGAGCCAGAUGAAGUAAAAACAAUGAAGUUCAUAUGUUCAUAAAUUUUUGAAAAAUGUUCCUAAGAGAGGUUGCUAAGCCUAGGUUGUGCCCCCCCCCUCCGCCCCCUUCAUUUGGCAAAAGAAAACCGUAAAAUAUGUUUUCAGAUAUCAAAAGUAAUUAUUUUGAUUAGAGAAAGGGUUUUCAACAAUUUUCAGAAAGUUUGGACUAGUUUUACAUGGUUUUUCAAUUUUUCAAUUCUUUUGAUGAGAGGAAAGGUUUUCGACAACUUUCUGAAAGUUUGGAGUAGAGGACUCAGGACUGAAAUAGACAUGAUGGAUCUUUGUACAAGUCUACAACCUAAUAAUAAUACAUAGACAGUGCAAAGUCUCUGAAGCCAUUACUCUGAAGCCAUUACUCCCACCCCCUCGCUUUCUCUGUGGGGCGACAAACUGUCACAAAAAAGAAGGGAUUAGGAUUUUUGUAAUAAUUGGGUUGAUAUAUAGAGGGUGAACAAACAUGAACACAAAACAUGAGCAUUUUAGGAGGUCUUUAAAGCACACAUAAUUUCCUUGCUGCAGGGAAAAAUCUUUGCAAGUGGAAACACUCAUCAGUGAUUUCAAUAUGUUCAAUACAGAGAAUGAAUGUGUUUUGAAAAAGAAAAUUUCUUGUUUGAAAGUGGUAGCACCAGGAAAUUUCGCGGGAAAGAUUGAAGCUUGUGCCCUCGUGCUUUCAACGAAAAUUUUCGUCCUAAAACUUUCAUUAUUUUUGUAGAAUCUUAUUCCAAUAUAAGCUCUAAUCUUUGCCAAAUGGACAACAACAUGUUUGUAACAACUUAAAGAAAGCUGUGGAUUGCAUUUGUGGUCGAGAUUCGAUGUUUUUCAAGCUUGACUUGGCUCAAACUUUAUGUUGUAUUUCAUACUCCAUCUUGGUAUAAAUGUUGCAUCAGCUGUAUCAAUUUGGUUAGAAUUUGCUUGGAAUACCUCUGGUUUCUCUUCUUUAAGGUAUUUGGGAUUAUUUUUGCGUUGAUAUAUUGUGAUGUAUGAAAUAUAUGUAAAGUUAUAUUGCUUUUUAAUACAGGGUUUUAUAAUUAGGGGUGCACCGGAACUCAGUUCCGGCCGGUUAGUUCUGGCCGGAACCCCGAUUUUUUAGAGUUCCGGUUCCGGCCGGAACUAGUAAAAAAAGCAUGGCCGGAACCGGAACUCUGUCGUUUUCAGGGAGAUAGAAUAUCAAACGUUUUUGUGUCUAACAACAGGUCACAGUAGGAAGAAAGUUGGACUACGCAAGGGAAAUGUACACUACUAACACUUCAUUAUGACGUUUAACGUUUGUCAGUCUUUUUAUUCUGACAUUUGCGAACUCUCUACUUGAUGAUUUGAAGUGUCUGCUUGUCUGGCAGCGGACAAAGUAACAUAUGACUAUAUAUGGUUUAAUAAAUUAGUUCCGGUUCCGGCCGGAACUUAAAAAACCGGUUCCGGUGCAUCCCUAUUUAUAAUAUAGAAAUUUUGAAUUGAGGAUUCCCUUUCUUACGUUUUCGUAGCGCUUUGCAUUGCUUUGCUUUGCAUAUCACUGAUAUUCAAGAUGGCUUAUUUUUUGUCCUAACCUGUGCAAGAACUUUAAAAAAAACUAGGGUCAGGUGUGUGUUAGUCAUUAUUUUUAUUCGAGGCUGGUAUCUUUAGCAGUGAUUAGAGAGGUGUGCAUCGGAUCAGAUUGGACGUUUAUAAUCCGACAAUUGUCUAAUGUUUAAAAUCCGAUCUGAAAUUGUCUAAUCCGAAUCGGAUCCGAAUUUUGAUAAAGAAUUCCGAUCCGAAGAAUUCUUUAAUAAAAUAAAUUUCUCAUUCAAGUUGAAAUAUUUCAUUAACUUAACCAAAUAAAUAUAAAAGCAAGAAAUAGAUGUCAAGAAGCUGACGAAGUGACGUCCAAUUGAAGUAUCGAGCAAAUAAUGCAGUGACAAUCAUGAUGAUGCUUUUAUAAAUGCAUAGAUUAAUUUUAUUUCAAAUAUCGAAGUUUGAUCUGACCACGAAACAACUUCAUCAAUCCGAUCUGAAAUUGAAUAUUUUAGUUCCAAAAUCCGAAUGAAUCUGUUUCGGAUUGGAAUGGCACACCUCUUCAACUUUUGAAAUUCAACUAUUUUUGCCUCUGCAAAUAAUUGCUGAAACCUUUCAAUAAUUUUAGAGUUUGCCUCAGCAAUUUUUUUUGCUGAGGCACGCAAAGAAAUCACCUUAAAUAACUUUGGCAAUUACUUGGGCACCUUUUGGCAUUCACAUCUGCAGUUGUAAUUUAAGUAAAGUACAUACAGAAAUUACGACCGUAGAUUCUGAGACUUCUGAUGUUUGACAAUUUGUUGUUAUUUUACAAAUUCCUGAUUCAAAAUGUUUUUAAAAAGUUGGUGGUAAUUUACAACCAAUUGUAUAAAAAAAUGAACUUGAGUCUUGACAGUAAAAUCACACGACAGUCUAAAAGAUAAAAAACAAAGUUUCUCGACAUAUUGACAUAUUGUCUUUAAACCAUCACGAUUGUUCUUUAUUUCUCAAUAAAUGCUCAAAAGCUCAAAUUUAAAUAUUUUGUAAAGUAGCUAUGAAUGAAUCUUCUGUUGUUCACCCGGCGUCGAUGACAACAAUUCGAACAAAGAAGUGAUAUAAAAAACUAAUGCUGUAGUUUGUAUAUUUAAGAAGAAAAAAACGAAAACUUGUCCCUUUUCACGCUAAUUGUAUCAAAAUAAUUAUAAACUUUUACAUCAAUUACUUUAUAUUAUUUAAAAAGUGACAUACAUGACAGAUUGGUUUUUAUAUAUCAAAAUGAGAUAUAUUUUUAGUUUUUUUUACCUUGUAAAUGUCCUAAAUCUUGUGCUUGUGCAUGACAACCCAUUCUGGCAGACCUAUAAGGCAGCGGUUUUUACCUUUCAAUACUUCAUUUUGGUAGGUCUUUCUGGUGUAAAUUGGAUAUUUAUUGUUUUAUAAGUUAAAUCCUUUGCAAAAAUUUUCCAGAACUAGAAAUUAAUUCUAAACAAUACAAUAGUCCCAAAAUAAUACUUUACAGAGAAAAGACGCAGGCGGUGGACCAGGGUAAAAUCUGGUACUAGACAGAGUAAAAUAAAAAGGCUCAUUUGGGUACAUUGUAGUUCAGGGCUCGAAAUAAUGCCGAUUAAUGAUCAACAGGAAAUUGUUUUCGAUCAGCGAGGAAGCAAUGUUGCUGUUCAUCUUGAUCGGCAAAAAAUAUAUUUGACGAUUGUCUAAAAAACAUGUUUACCUGUAUCUGGUAAAAGACAAAUAAAAGUAAUUUCAAAAACUCAUUGAUAAUUCAUGAGGCAAACACAAAGAAAAAUCGUAAGCAUGUCAUAUCUUUAUAUGUGAGAGAGAUUUACUUUGAUUAACAUAAACUUUAACUUUGAUUUUCUCAACUUACACAAUAUAUUUCUUGAAAGUUACUUUACCAAUGAACUUACUAGAUCAAUCGUUUUUGAGGCAAUUUAAAACAUUCACAGUGUGUGUUUUAACAGAAUACUUGGGACAGUGGCAUAACUACUAUGGGUUUGGACUGGGCGAACCCUGGGGGCCCCCAACCCCAAUGGGAGAAAUGCGGGCAAUAACAUUGGCAGGGUCUCUGAUAUGUUAGAAUGUCGUUUUCUAACCAUCGGAAUUCCGGAAAAUCUCUCCCCAUUUGCCAGUUGAUAACAUAUUGUUUUCCUCUCGCCUGAGGGAGACAGCCAAAUUUCGUCACACUCAUGUGAUAUGCUCUCAACCAAUAAAACACUAGAAAAAUGUGACUUUGACUAUUGGUAUAUAAUAAUUAUAACUUAUUUUCCGAGACCGAGGGUAUGAAUAAUUGCCCGGUUAUUGCAGUGAACUUAAUUUGAAACAAACACUGGGUAAAUAGAACACUGUAAAUGUUUAGUAAAAGGUUAAAAAAAAAGUGAACUUUGGAACUUCACGAUUGACACACAUGCAUAUUGCACCCAUUUUAUUAUUGAUGGUCAAUAAAUGUUUGAUUGUGGAACGAUUGCUGACCAAUAAUGUGUGACCAAUAAUGUGACCAAUCGGCAAACAAAUAGAUAAAUUGAACUUUGACACUAACUAUAUAACAAUAAGUUUUAGUGCUUAGUUUAUAAUGCUGCUGGGUUUCUUGCUUUUGUGUGAAAAAUGCAAAAAUUGUUGCAGAUAGUCAAGGAAAUUUUCUUUCUUUUGAAACAAUGAUUAUGUUAUGAAAAGUUAAUUUAAAAACUUAUUAGUUGGUAGACUUGUCUGAUAUGUCUUGAUUUGCACUCCUUUUUAAAUAGGUUAAGCAACAGCCAUGUUUUGUUUACAUUUAUGCAACUUUGCAAAAUUAUGUGCGACCUUGUACCGACAAGUGACUUUUCUCCCCAAAUGGUAAGGACCCUGGGUAAAGGGUCCUUCCCUGGAGCAGGAUCUUUCUCCUUUCAGGGGAAACACCCUGGGUAAGACAUGUGCAGGUGCACACAGACCAAAUUUUUGCAAAAACUUGCUUAUUGUUUGAUCGUUCCCAUCGCAAUUCAGGGCAAGUUGCAUCGCAAUUCAGGGCAAGUUGGAACAAGUUUACUUGCGAUGACUUGUGUUCUCCUUUGAUCAGGGCUUGACUCCAAAGGUUGAUAACAUUUUUAUAUUUAUUUUCAUUUCGACUAUAUUUCAGAUGUCAUCUGGAUAAACUAGUUGGGUUAUACAUUGUAUAAACAUAAAAAUGUUAUCAACCAUUGGAGUUAUACUUGUUUUGUAUUUUGUUAAAAUAUUCAGGGCUCUAUAAUAUUGAGAUUUUGAAUUGGUUUUAAAAUUUAAACAAAAUCCAUUGUUUGGUUAAGUAACACUGUCCUUUUGAUGAGUAAAAUCAUCUGGCAUUAGACAGGGGAAAUUAAAAAGUAGGGCACAUUUUGUUGCAUUGCAGUUCAAUGUGUUAACAAGAUACAUUGCCACUUUUCUCUUAAUUUGAGUAAAAUGAUCUGGCAUCAGACAUUUGGUUACUUUGCAGCUUAAUGAGUUAAUCUUAUUUUUCUUAGAGAACAGCAAUUCAACUCUAUGGCUUACCAAAGAAACUAUACACCAGCAAUGUGUACAAGGCAAUUGAAUGUAUCGUUGGAAAUUUUUCUCUGAGAUUAUGCAGUCAUGUUGACAUGUGUUAGUUCAGUUUGAUUUGCAGAGGAACUACUUGAAAGGUCAGUUCUAAAAAAUCAUGUGCGCUGUUGUUUGCAAAUGAACAACAUUUUUCAAUUGAUGUUUUUAUCACUUGAAAUUGUUUCGAUUAAAAUAAUGGUUUGGACAAUUUUCAGAAAGUUUAGAGUAGGCUGGGGCACUUUUACAUGUUUUCAAAAAUAUCCUGUGGUCUCCGCUUUGAUUAGCAUAGGAUUGCCUCUGCCCAAAAUAUUCCAAUUCAUAUUUUUAUCAUGCUAAAGUAAUUGUUUUGAUUAAAAGAACAGUUUUGAACAAUUCUUGGAAAGUUUGAAAUAGCUUGGUGCACUUUCAAAAAUUUCCUGUGACUGCCUUUGGUUAGCCUCUGUUUACUGUUUGCAAAUGACCAACUUUUUCAACUCGUGUUUUUAUCACAUUGAAUGUAAUCGUUUUGUUUGAUUAACCUAUUGAGUCACAUUGUGCCCUUAUGCACCCUACUUUAUUAUUUUACUCUGUCUAAUGCCAGACGACUUUACUCGUCAAGGGGAGAGCGCUGGCGCUUAAUGGGUUAAAAGUAGGCUGUUGCGGUAUUUGAAAAAACCCGAAAUAUAUCGAUAUUUUUUUGCAAUUGUAUUUUGCUUAAUUUUAUGCAAAAUUUGCUUAAUUUUAUGCAAAAGUUUCUGUUUUCAAAUGAUGCCAAACAGCCAUGAUAUAACAUGCAGCUUUGACUCAUCGGGUGUGUGAUAUUUUCAAUAAAGUGUGAGGCCAGUGAUCAGUAGUCUGUGAAAUGUCCGCUUUAAGAAUUGAAAAUGCAUAUUACUUAUUAGCAUUGAUUAUCGCACCGGAUGAAUCAUGCAUGAUAUUUUUGACCGGGAAAUUGUUUCAAAACAUUUUAUUCAACUGCGAAUUUGAAACAAAGGUCGUCCUAGUAUCUCACCAGACAAACAAUGUCCAAUGAGGUUAGUCUUUGUUUUUCUAAAACAUUUGUAAUCCAACAACGUAUAAAGAAACACACGUUUUAGAUCUCGCUCUAACCUUAAUUUACGGAUUUUACCGUGGAGUUAACACAUUGAUCGUCUUUGUCCUUCUGAAAUAACUCCAAUCAGCGCUUGAAAAAGCUUGAGAUGACUUUUAAAUAUACAAACGUAAACAUGAUAUCGAUAAUAGCAAAAAAUAUCAAUAUUUCGAUAUAUCGAAAAUUUCAAUAUCGAGUAAUCAGUAUUUAUAAAAAAAAGAUAAUUAUUAGUAUAUCGAUAUACUGCAACAGCCUAGUUAAAAGGUGGAAAAAUAUGCUUGGUCACCGUGGGGAUCGGACCUACAAGAAUACCAGCCCAAUGCUGUGCCAACUGAGCUACAGGGCCUCAGAGGGGGGGGGGGGGGGCAAAUUGCCCCGGGCCCCGAGUUGCUGGGGGCCCCUGAAAAAUUUUUGUUGGGCCCCCAGCCUUUUUUGUGUGUUAAAUAUUUCCGCGCAAAGGACAAGAGAUCUGUUUUUGUUUUUUGGGCUAAGUACCGAAUUUUGGCAUGAAAAAAUGAGAUAAAGUCCCUCGAAAGCAAUUGUAACGUACUCGUCCGGAAAAAUUUUGUACUCCGGAAAAAAUUUUUGACCCCUAAAUGGUACACUGACCGAAAAUUUUUUUGCCGGGGGGGGGAGGUUCUCCGGAAAAAAUUUGCCCUGGGCCCCCGCCAACCUUGCGGCGGCCCUGCUGAGCUAUAUCUGGUCACCUGAGGGGCUGGUAUUCCGAAGGUGGUAGGUCCGAUUACCACCUUGGCCAGGCAUAUUUUUCAAGGUUGCCCAGUGUGGAUAUACACUCAGAGUAACAUCACAAACAUCAUAUUCACCUGAGUACACAACAUCAACACAGAAAAAACUUCAAAGUAAUUGUUAUAAUUAAAGGUGAUCUACAGUCCGUAUAUUGUUUACAUUUUUGUGUCCAAAAUAUUGAGCUUUAUUCGACAAUUAUUUAUAUUUUCAAGCUUCUAGAGUAUAAUAAAUGAUCAAGAAACAACAAUCAGGCUUUUCAAAAACUCAAAACAUAGUUAAACUGUUUGUAUCAUAAAAAGUGGGCUCAUUUGUGCACAUGCGCAGAUCGGACUGUAGAUCACCUUUAAAAGAACAGUUUUUAGUGCAAAGUUGACGAAGUCAAGUUUGUACUAUUGUGAUGGGGUGCAAGGCAUUACGUCAUUACGUGACUCAACAAUGGAUCGAUGGAUGGAUGUAUAGUGUAAACAAUUCAAUCCGGGGGGAGUGCUUGCAAAUUAUUUUCGUAGCUUUGCAACGUUCAGCCAGCAUAUAUAUUAAAAAAUUUUCAAAUAAGAUUUUAUAUUUUUAUUCACAACGACAGAUGUUUUUCUGAUUUACAUUAUCUAGCAUUUAGAGGAACAAUCAUAAAUUAAAUAUCAAUUUUAAGAUAUGAAUGGCUAAUAUGUGUAGGUACUUUCUCGCCCUCAGUGCAACAAAAUCAAAUGAAACAACACACUUGCUCUGCACUGCGCCAAUUUUAAUAUGGUGGUGUCGGAGGAGUUGCAGUACAAUGUUGUGUAUAGAACGGGUCUAUCAUUACUAUCAAAGUCAAAGAUGCAGUCACUUUUAACCUUGUUUUUGUGCUUAUAUUAUCUAACAAAGAAACAGAGUGAUACAGAAUAUAAAAAAGUGCCUGUGGAGUGUGGUCAUGAUAGUUUUAAUAUAAAUUAGCUUACACAUUUUAUUAAAAAUAACUCAAUACCGUAUACUACCUAUAAGGGUUGUAUAAGUAUAAACAACUUGCAUCUUAUAUUGCCAUUUUGUUGUAACUGUAAAAUUUUACUCUGGAGCACAGGCAUGCAAAAAGAGACUAUGGUUCUUAAUUCUUUAAUGUUUAUAUUAAAUAACGAUGGUAGUUAAUGUCAUGAUCACAGACACAGGCUCUGACAACAGGCGAAUCUUACUGCAUUUAUAACAAAACCUGAUUAAAUUAUUAUAUAAGACGUACUUAGUUAUUGUUAUUUUGUCUUGAAUAUUAAGCCAUUCAACCCAAGCAUAUGCGUAAACAUCUGAUCAAACUCUAUACACUGUCAAAAUGCCAAUGUAGUACACAAAGUAGUUAAAUGUAGUUCUAUAAUUAGCGCUGCAAAGCUUAUACAUUUCAAUCACGCAACACAAAUAUUUUAGCGAUUGUGAUUUGUUCUAGAGAUCUGAGCACUGUAUGUGCUGCCUCUGAUGUGCUGUUUUAGCAUGAACAUAUUUGAUUUUUAAAUUGGGCAAUUGAUUUUAAAUUAAGGAAAUUGAAGGCUCAUGCAUUAUAUUUUCUAAUGAUCGAUAUAGUCAUGUUUAUUCAAUAUAGUCUGCAUAUUAUAUAUGCCAAGUCUGCAAUUUCAGUAAGCAGCUUUAUAUACAUUCUGCCUUUUAUACAUUUUCUGCAGUCUACACUAUAGUUUAUACUGACUCUGUAUGCUAUUUGUCAUUAUAAAAUUCAUUAAUAAUUCAUGAGGAAACAAAUGUUUAAUCAAUGUUUGUAAAUCGCAUAAAGAUUUGUCCUGAUUAACAUAAACUUCAGCUUUGAUUUUCUCGCCUUAGACAAUGCAUGUUUAUUUUUAAAUUACUUCGCCAAUGAACUCAUAAGAUCGGUUGUUUUAUAAUUGCGAUAAAACAUUCGCAUCUCGCCUUCGGCUUGUGUUUGUAUAUCAGAUAAAAAAUGUCUAGUACUUAUGUUCCAUUAGUAUGUGUGAGAAAAUUAUAUUUCUGGAAAUGUAAACAGCAUACUAAAGUAAUCAAUUAAAAUUCUGUAGUAUAUACAGACUAUAAAAGUAUAAUAAUACAGACCAUGCACGAUAAAGGGUGGAUGUGGGGCCUAUAUAUAGACCCCUUAUAGUGUGCACACCCCUUAUAGUGCUUUCUGGUCAGUUGUCAUAUCAACUUUGCACUAUCCUUGGGAUCUCUGAGUUGACAAUUAUCAGAUGGUUCACAUUAUUUUCUAGUUAUAGACUUAUUAUAAUUGUAGGAAAAAGUGGUUGAAUCAAGCAGCAAGAAUAAUAAUCUUAACUAUGAGAUCAUGUACACAACAUAGUUUCAGUUCUUUUAAAACCGUCUUUGAACUUUUUGUUCAAGCCUAGUGACUUAUUUCAGUAGAUGAAAAUCAUCCCACCUUUUAUCCUGUCCUGACAAACUGUGAUCAUGUGAACAGCACUGUUAGUCAUUAAGUUGAUUUUCACCGUAAUUUACAUACUUUACCAACUCUGUCUAACGUCAGACAAUUUUAUUAAUCAGGGGGAGCACUGCAGUUAGUGAGUAAUUAGAAGCAUGGGCAGUCUCGUUAUGAAGCAUAAAAUCGUCUUGCGUUGGACAGUAAAAAACUGAGUAGAGUAUGCUUCAUGGUACAGCACAACAAAAUGGUUUAAAUUUUAUAUCUGAAUUAAUGAUUGUUUUGCUUUGUUUUACAGAUCAUUACUGAACAUGGUGAUGGAAUAGUAAUUUAUAAAAUGUCAUGUUACCAAGAUAAGGCACUUCAAGGAGCAAUAUACAUGGGGAAAUAUCUUUAUUUUCCAACAAUGACAAUACAUCAAAGACAGUAAGAUCACAAAGCCAUGAAUUUGAAGAAAAUGUACCAAAUGACAAAGACGAUGAUGAAAUUGGAUGCUUGAGACGAAAUGAAAGGAUCGAAUGUUAUGGUCAGUAAUGGAUAUUUGUGGUUAUACUAAAUGGAUACAAAGAGACCAUGAUGGGUAAAUAUGGCCCUGUAAUGGUAGUCAGUUAAUGGAUAUACAAAGGCCACAGAAAUGUCUACUUUCAGGUGAUGGUUUUUUCUUGUUUGCCUGCGAACAGGCUGUAGAUAUGUAGAUACUUGUACCCAGGCCAUUGUUUGUUUUGUUCUGGGUACAAUGAAGUCGGUGAAGGCUAUUUCAGAUACGGUAGAGCACCUUGUCCCUAGCCCUUCAUCGAUGCGGCUGUUAAUUGAAUAUGGCGCCAAGCUAAGGAGUGCAGUUUAAUGCAGUUUAUAUUCCAUAUUUUCUACUGUUUUUGACGGUUUUUUGGUUGGUAGAACUUAUAUAUUGUGAAAUGUCAGAUAUGUUACAAUUUAUCUGAAAAAAAUAUUUUCUAACAGAAUUUUUCUCUAACAUAAUUUAACAUACUUUUAAAGUUGAUGUAUACUGCAUGAGUGAGUGAUGGUUGUGACUGAGUUGUUUAUUUAACAAUGAAAUUUAGAGUAUUUUGCUCAAGUUGGCAAGCUAUGAGCCUACAAUUAAAUACUACUUUGCAUGAUCAAGAUGAUAUUAUUUAAUUUAUUUGAGCAGGACGAUACAUGCCAAUGUGGUCACAAUGCAUUAUAAAUUGACAACAUUUUAUUAGCAGUUUUAGAAAGCUAAUCUGUCAGACGAUAUUUUAUCAUUAUUAUUAUAUUUAAAUUUGUGCAGGAUACCCACAUCACCGAAGUGUUUUUCAGUGGGGUCCUGCAUUAUAAAUUUCAACUUCAAUACAUAUAUAUUACAAAAUAAC
rnacentral:lncRNA from 1 species